GUCUUCAUGGCUUAGUUGGUUAAAGCGUCGGUCUCGUGCGUCUUCCUAAUCCUUUCAAAAUCGGACGUUAGCUAACCUUUCUCACAGAUAUGUGAAUACAUAUGAUCGAAUCUAAAGUUCGAGCAAUCCGAAGGUCGUGAGUUCGAGUCUCACUGAGGACA
rnacentral:tRNA from 1 species